AUUCCCCAUAAUUAAGCAUCACACCUCGUAAUAUCCUAUCCUAAAAUCAAGGAGAAUGAAAUCCCAGGAGCCGCCCCUCCCCAUUAAUCCUGCCAUAGCCAUACUCAUCGAGCGAAUCGACCCAUCGGCCAUCGUCCUGCAGGUGCCUCCGCGAGCAUGGAACCGGCGACGUCACCACCGGCCUCGAACUCCUGCCUCUAGAUCCUCCUCCAGCCCUCCCCAACUUUGCGUCGCGGCUUGCCGGCAGUGGGCACGGCGGUGUUGUGGUGGUGACGACUGACGAGCGCGCCGGCAAGAGGGCCAAGCCAUGGCUGGAAUCCCACCGCGACAAUCAAUGGCUUCUCAAGAUGGAGACGAAGGCUCGGCUGUGGCUGGUGCAGGGAAUUUUACCUCAGCUGAUCCUUCGUCUCAACGUGCUACACCAAUAUCUUUAGCUACUCCGAUAUCUCAAGCUGCUACUCCAACAUCUCAAGCUGCUACUGUAACAUCUCAAGCUACAUCUAGCAGAGCUGGUUCUAAGAGGAAGCGAACAUCGACAGUAUGGGAUGAGAUGGAAGAGAAAUUAGAAAAUGGACAACUGAAAGCCGAGUGCAAUCAUUGUCACAGAAAAUUUACUGCAGGACCUAGAGUUGGCACAACUCACUUGCGUGUACAUUUGGAAUCUUAUCCUGCUAAGCAUGCACCCAUUGGUCCACAACAACAAAAAUUGAGGUUGACCAAAGGUGAAGGUGGCAAAGUGAAUAUGGAAAAUGUCAUUUUUGACCAAGAGAAGGCUAGGAGAGAUCUUGCAUUGAUGAUAUGUGAACAUGAGUAUCCUCUAUCUAUUGUGGAUCAUAGUGGUUUUUGUAGAUUCUACACUCUUUGCGACAUUUCAGAGUGUUCUCGAGGAUGAAGAAGAGGAGAUGGAUGCGUCUACUUCAAUCAUCACCCAAUAGUGAAGAUAUUGCUGCUGUUUGUGCUUGGUUGGAACUUGGAAGCUGAUGGCUACUAUUUAUGCUGGUUGGUGGCUCGUGUCUGCUAUCUACUGUAGCUGCUCUUUGUGUUGGCUCAUCGGUGCCUCGGAUGUUUUUAGUUAUUACUUGUCGGAUGUUAUUUGGUGAAGUGUGUCGUGAGUUUGUGAACCUAUGUUAAAGUUCAACAAUUGUCAAUUUGAAUUGAGAUAA